GAUGAAGAACGCAGCGAAAUGCGAUAAGUAAUGUGAAUUGCAGAAUUCAGUGAAUCAUCGAAUCUUUGAACGCACAUUGCGCCCGCCAGUAUUCUGGCGGGCAUGCCUGUUCGAGCGUCAUUACAACCCUCAGGCCCCCGGGCCUGGCGUUGGGGAUCCGCGGAGCCCCCCGUGGGCACACGCCGUCCCCCAAAUGCAGUGGCGGUCCCGCCGCAGCUUCCAUCGCGUAGUAGCUAACACCUCGCGACUGGAGAGCGGCGCGGCCACGCCGUAAAACACCCAACUCUUCUGAAGUUGACCUCGAAUCAGGUAGGAAUACCCGCUGAACUUAAGCAUAUCAAUAAGCGGAGGA
rnacentral:misc_RNA from 1 species